rnacentral:rRNA from 1 species
AUACGGAGGAUGCAAGCGUUAUCCGGAUUUAUUGGGUUUAAAGGGUGCGUAGGCGGGACUGUAAGUCAGGGGUGAAAUACUGCAGCUUGACUGUAGCAUUGCCUUUGAAACUGUGGUUCUUGAGUACAGUUGAGGUAGGCGGAAUGUGGUGUGUAGCGGUGAAAUGCAUAGAUAUACCACAGAACGCCGAUUGCGAAGGCAGCUUACUAAGCUGUUACUGACGCUGAGGCACGAAAGCGUGGGGAUCAAACAGGAUUAGAUACCCUGGUAGUCCACGCUGUAAACGAUGAUUACUGGUUGUUAGCGAUAUAUAGCUAGUGACUGAGCGAAAGCAUUAAGUAAUCCACCUGGGGAGUACGUCGGCAACGAUGAAACUCAAAUGAAUUGACGGGG